UGGGUAACCCACCCCGAUGACCGGGACAACCCGAGGAAACUCGGGCUAAUACCAGAUGAGCUCUUCGCCCUUGAGGGAGAAGAGGAAAGAUAGCUUCGGCCUUCGCAUCGGGACGGGCCCGCGGCGCAUUAGCUUGUUGGUGGGGUAACGGCUCACCAAGGCUGCGAUGGGUAGCUGGUCUGAGAGGACGAUCAGCCACACUGGGACUGAGACACGGCCCAGACUCCGUACGGGAGGNAG
rnacentral:rRNA from 1 species